rnacentral:ncRNA from 12 species
CUUGUCCGAGUGGUUAUGGAGUUUGACUUGAAAUCGAAUGGCGUCAGCCUUGCAGGUUCGAAUCCUGUAG